rnacentral:lncRNA from 1 species
UCAGGGGGUGUACUUGUGUAUUCUCAAACUCUAAAGCUGUUUGACAGGGACCUCGUGGAAUGCCAGGACCUGUUGGACCCCCAGGGGCUCCGGGACCCACGCGUCCUCAUUACCUCUGUCACCCCCCCUACCGUAAGCCAGGACUUCAUGAUGACAUUUUUGAAGCACCUCCUCCAUACAAUUAUCCUAAUGAUGCACGCUUGGGUGGUAUCCAAGCAGGAUCUCCGAAUUUUCCCAGAUCCCAUAAUUUUAACGAUGAGAUGUCAGCAGAAGGAGAAGAGAAUUGAACACAGCCUACAGAUGAUCUUCUCAUCUCCCCCAUCCAGACAUGUAGGCUACAACUGAGAUGUUAAAAGAGUGAAGAACUUGGAAAAUUUGCAAAACUUAGGUUUCAAUAUGUGUGUUUUUAGCUGUUUAAUAAAAAAACAUCUUUAUAUAAUUUAAUAAGAGUA